rnacentral:rRNA from 1 species
GAUGAACGCUAGCUGCAGGCUUAACACAUGCAAGUCGAGGGGAAACGAUGAGAGAGCUUGCUCUCUUAGUCGUCGACCGGCGCACGGGUGAGUAACGCGUAUCCAACCUGCCUCUGACCAAGGGAUAACCCGUCGAAAGUCGGGCUAAUACCUUAUGCAGUCGUCGGAAGUCAUCUGAUGACGACGAAAGAUUUCAUCGGUGAGAGAUGGGGAUGCGUCUGAUUAGCUUGUUGGCGGGGUAACGGCCCACCAAGGCGACGAUCAGUAGGGGUUCUGAGAGGAAGGUCCCCCACAUUGGAACUGAGACACGGUCCAAACUCCUACGGGAGGCAGCAGUGAGGAAUAUUGGUCAAUGGGCGUAAGCCUGAACCAGCCAAGUAGCGUGCAGGAUGACGGCCCUAUGGGUUGUAAACUGCUUUUAUGCGGGGAUAAAGUGAGGGACGUGUCCUUCAUUGCAGGUACCGCAUGAAUAAGAACCGGCUAAUUCCGUG